rnacentral:rRNA from 1 species
GACGAACGCUGGCGGCGUGCUUAACACAUGCAAGUCGAACGGUAAGGCCCUUCGGGGUACACGAGUGCCGAACGGGUGAGUAACACGUGGGUGAUCUGUCCUGCACUUCGGGAUAAGCCUGGCAAAGUGGGUCUAAUACCGGCUAGGACUCCUGGCUUACUGGAUGGGGGGGGAAAGCUUUUGCGGUGUGGGAUGGGCACGCGGCCUAUCAGCUUGUUCGGGGGGUAAUGGCCUACCAAGGCGACGACGGGUAGCCGGCCCGAGAGGGUGACCUGUCACACUGGGACUGAGGUACGGCCCAGACUCCUACGGGAGGCAGGAGUGGGGAAUAUUGCACAAUGGGCGCAAGCCUGAUGCAGCGACGCCGCGUGAGGGGUGACGGCCUUCGGGUUGUAAACCUUUUACAGCUAUGACGAAGCGCAAGUGACGGUAGUAGCAGAAGAAGGACCGGCCAACUACGUGCCAGCAGCCGCCGUAA